AGUCAAGCUACUAAGAGUCAUUGGUGGAUGAUUUGGCGCUUGAUGGCGAUGAAGGACGUGGUAAGCUGCGAUAAGCGUGGGGUAGGUGCAAACAACCUUUGAUCCCGCGAUUUCCGAAUGGGACAACCUAUCCGUUGUGAGACGGAUAUCAUCAUCUGAAUUCAUAGGAUGAUGAAGCUAAACCGGCUGAAUUGAAACAUCUCAGUAAGCCGAGGAAGAAAAACCAAUAGAGAUUCCCCUAGUAGCGGCGAGCGAAAAGGGAACAGUCUAAACCUCUAAUAUGCCAAGCCUCAGAGCGUUGUAUUAGGGGUGUUGCGGACGAAAGUGAUUCUGAUCUGAGUCAGGAGAAGAAGACUUAAUGUUUUUAGUUGAAGGGUCUGGAAAGACCCGCCAAAGAGGGUGAUAGCCCCGUAAACCAAAAAAACAUUGGCUUCUUUGCUUUUUGUCCAAGUACCGCUUGAUAAGUGGAACCAAGCGGGAAUCUGGGAGAACCAACUUCUAAGACUAAAUACACUCAAGCGACCGAUAGCGAACUAGUACCGUGAGGGAAAAUUGAAAAGAACCCCUGUUAGGGGAGUGAAAUAGAACCUGAAACCAAUUGACUUACAGGCGGUUGGAGGGCUAUGGCCGCACCGUAAGGUGCAGCAAUGCCUGACAGCAGUGCCUUUUGCAUAAUGAUCCGGCGAGUUAUUCUGUGCGGCAAGGUUAAUCUCGGAGACGAGAGCAGCCGUAGCGAAAGCGAGUCUGAAUAGGGCGCUCAGUCUCACAGAAUAGACCCGAAGCGGUGUGAGCUAACCAUGACCAGGAUGAAGCGUGGGUAAAACCACGUGGAGGUCCGAACUAGUGUAAGUUGAAAAUUGCUUGGAUGAGUUGUGGUUAGGGGUGAAAGGCUUAUCAAACACUGUAAUAGCUGGUUCUCCUCGAAACAUCUUUAGGGAUGGCCUGACGAAGUAGCAGGUGGAGGUAAAGUACUCAAUGGGCUAGGGAACUUACCAGUUUACCGAACCCAAUGAAACUCUGAAUGCCAUCUGUGUAAUCGUUGGAGUCAGACAGCGGGGGAUAAGCUUCGUUGUCAAAAGGGGAAAAACCCAGAUCGCCAGCUAAGGUCCCUAAAUGUACGCUAAGUGGUAAAGGAUGUGAGGAUUCUCAGACAACUGGGAUGUUGGCUUAGAGGCAGCCAUCAUUUAAAGAGUGCGUAACAGCUCACCAGUCGAGAAAUCUUGCACCGAAAAUGAUCGGGGCUCAAGCGUACUACCGAAGCUGCGGAUGUGAUUCUUCUUCGGAACGAAUCACGUGGUAGAGGAGCAUUCCUUCAGGGCUGAAGCGGAACCGAAAGGAUCCGUGGACUGGAAGGAAGAGAUUAUGCCGGAAUGAGUAGCGAUAAAACAGGUGAAAAACCUGUUCGCCGUAAACCCAAGGUUUCCCGGGGAAGGUUAAUCCGCCCGGGGUUAGUCGAUCCUAAGUCGAGGCCGGAAAGGCGUAGACGAUGGACAGCUGGUUAAAUAUUCCAGCACCAUUGGUAUGACGUUAUCAGUGCAUUGGUGCGCAGUAAGCUAGGUGAUCGCGCGAUUGGAUGUUGCGCGUCCAAGCCCGUAGUUGCAUCCGCAAGGGUGUGAUGAGAGGUGUUAGGGAGCUCAAUCUUCGGAAAGAGCGAACUCGCUGAUGCUACACUGCCGAGAAAAGCCAAUGUUACGAGUCAUGUCGAUGACCGUACCGUAAUCGGACACACGUGGGUGGGGUGAAAAUCCUAAGGCGCUCGAGUUAAUCCUCGCUAAGGAACUAGGCAAAAUAGCCCCGUACCUUCGGUAUAAGGGGUGCCCAAGUAGGGUGAAGUGUACAACGGAGCCCGAACGGGUCGCAGUGAAUUGGGCCAGGCGACUGUUUAACAAAAACACAGCACGCUGCUAAGUCGCGAAGACGAUGUAUAGCGUGUGACAUGUGCCCGGUGCCGGAAGGUCAAGCGGAGGUGUUAGCCCGUAAGGGCGAAGCACUGAAGUUAAGCCCCGGUAAACGGCGGCCGUAACUAUAACGGUCCUAAGGUAGCGAAAUUCCUUGUCGGGUAAGUUCCGACCUGCACGAAUCAUGUAACGAUCUGGCCGCUGUCUCGGCGAGUAACUCGGUGAAAUUGUAGCAGCGGUGAAGAUGCCGCGAUCCCGCAACUAGACGAAAAGACCCCGUGCACCUUUACUGUAAGCUGGUAUUGCAUUUUGGUGAUAUUUGUAGAGCUUAGCCGGGAGACUGUGAAAGCGAGGUGCUAGCUUCGCUGGAGUCUUCAGUGAAAUACCGGUCUAAUGUUUCUAGAAUGCUAACUCAAGCCUGUGAAACCAGGCAGGGAACAGUGCCAGCCGGGCAGUUUGACUGGGGCGGUCGCCUCCUAAAGCGUAACGGAGGCGUUCAAAGGUGGGCUUAGUGCAGUUGGCAAUUGCACGUUAAGGGCAAAUCCAUAGAGCCCGCUUAACUGCGAGACCUACAAGUCGAGCAGAUGCGAAAGCAGGAAUUAGUGAUCCGGUGGUGGAAUUUGGAAUCGCCAUCGCUCAUCGGACAAAAGGUACGCCGGGGAUAACAGGCUGAUCUCCUCCAAGAGUUCACAUCGACGAGGAGGUUUGGCACCUCGAUGUCGGCUCAUCACAUCCUGGGGCUGGAGAAGGUCCCAAGGGUUCGGCUGUUCGCCGAUUAAAGUGGUACGUGAGCUGGGUUCAGAACGUCGUGAGACAGUUCGGUCUCUAUCUGUUGUGGGCGUAGGAGUCUUGAGGAAUUCUCUUCCUAGUACGAGAGGACCGGAAGAGGGGAGCCUCUGGUGUGCCAGUUAUUCCGCCAGGAGUAGCGCUGGGUAUCCAUGCUCCGAUAGGAUAAGCGCUGAAAGCAUCUAAGCGCCAAGCCAUCUCCAAGAUAAGGACUCCCAAUCAGUUUUUGGUUUAGAAGACCCCUCGAAGACUACGAGGUUGAUAGGCAGGAUGUGGAAGUCCCGUAAGGGAUUAAGCUGACCUGUACUAAUCGGUCGUUCGGCUUGACUAU
rfam:uncultured bacterial clone OP3/3 (IV226A8) complete sequence.